AUGUCCGGAGACUGAUGAGCACAAAUGGCGCAUGCGCACAAGUCAUCGUAUAUCGUCCCGCCUGCGGACGAACCGAAAUAAAUCGAACGACGCCGAGCCGAUCAGCAGUACGGUGCUCGCUGGAUGCGACUGUUUCGCGUUAGUGAUGAUCAAAACGAGUUGUCGUCGUCGUUGUUUGUGGCAUUUCGCGAAGACGAAGAAGCCGUGAUCCGUGAUCAAAAGCUCGAGACGGAGAAGAGGCCGAGGACACACAUCGUCGCUCGUUGCCGCGGCCACGGAUGCAUAUGGAGCGGAGACUGCUCGAACGACCACGCCAGUCGGGGCAAUGGCUUCUACAAUCUUUAAACUUAUCCCUACCGAGUUGCUCAUGGUUAGGAUAAGGUGAAGGGUUAUAUUCGGCGCGUGUGUGUAUAUACGUGCAUUAAAUAUUGCUCGAUCCUUGCUUUCUCAUACUGAUCAAGCGACCGGAUUAGAUCACGUCACUCUUUUUUUUCUGCUGAUUCCUCACGAACGAUCCCAUGUGAUGCUUCGCUAUAGAUUGGAUUAUAUUCUUUAUCUGGAACAUAUAUCCCAGACUGUAUUCGACGUCUUUGCCACGCGCCAUUGCUUGUCCUGUGGCCAUUGCUUGGAAUAAUAGGGACACGGAUAAAUAUGAAGUCCAUUCACUAUUCCGCGCGUUAAUUGAAACGUUUCAAAUCGAACAUCCGUUACGUAGAAAACAAUGGGUUACGCUUUAUUACGAUGCGUGUCUGGAACGGUGUCAUUUUUGCGCUAACUGCACGGGAUUUCAGUUCCAUUAUUAUUCCAAUUAUAGAUAAAAAGGAACAUCUCCUACCCCCGCCCGUCUGCAUUUUCAUAUUCUCCUAAUGUACAUACACGAGCGAAAAUAAAAGAACUAGCGUUUUCAAUCCGUAUAUCGCACUCGCGUAGAGCGCAUCACCAAGCGAGUGUUUUUGUUUGAUUUCACUCGCAGUUGACGAACCAAUAAUCGAAGCCGUACAUGCUAUACGUAAAUAUAUCCGCGGAUAGACAACACAUAUGUGUCCAUAUAUGUCCUACCCGAGCCUGGAAUACAUACACAUAUGUACACGCAAGGGAAAAGACCGUGGGUAGAACGAGGAUAAAAGAAAGCGCCAACGGUGAGCUUUAACGCGAAAAAGGCCUAUUCGCUUUGUAGCCGAUUCAAUAAUAUCUUCUGUUUCGUGGCACGUUUCAAACGACUGAGCGAAGUGGCAGUAUUCGAGGCCUAGAUUUCCUGUUAUCGCUUUUAUCUUACUUCGUCGAAUACCGCCAGUGCUAAUGGAUCGUUAAUUACCACCAGUCGUCGCGAUGUAAUGUAAAUCCGUGUAGCAAAAAAGCCAGCUGGGUUAUUGUAUCGUCGUUCAGCGAUUUGCUCGGAAGUAUGAUUCAUGCCCGUGCAUGCGCCUGUUCGCCGUCUGCGCGCUACGCAAUUCGUAGCGUUCAAAUUCGAGCGUUUUCUGUUUGUAU